GGGANUUGCCAUGGGAGAACCCUGAUGCAGCCAUGCCGCGUGUGUGAAGAAGGCCUUCGGGUUGUAAAGCACUUUCAGCGAGGAGGAAAGGUCAGUAGCUAAUAUCUGCUGACUGUGACGUUACUCGCAGAAGAAGCACCGGCUAACUCCGUGCCAGCAGCCGCGGUAAUACGGAGGGUGCAAGCGUUAAUCGGAAUUACUGGGCGUAAAGCGCACGCAGGCGGUUGGAUAAGUUAGAUGUGAAAGCCCCGGGCUCAACCUGGGAAUUGCAUUUAAAACUGUCCAGCUAGAGUCUUGUAGAGGGGGGUAGAAUUCCAGGUGUAGCGGUGAAAUGCGUAGAGAUCUGGAGGAAUACCGGUGGCGAAGGC
rnacentral:rRNA from 1 species